GUGUGUUCUUGUACUUAUGACAUUGUGAGGACCGGCAUGAGUUUUUAACCAACAGAGUGAGGACAUUUUGACGAAGCGAGGACUUUUUUUUUUGGCCGGUCCUCACUGUGCCACAAGUGCAGGAAUGAAUGUGUGUGUGUGUGUGUGUUCUUGUACUUAUGACAUUGUGAGGACCGGCAUGAGUUUUUAACCAAGAGUGAGGACAUUUUGACGAAGCGAGGACUUUUUUUUUGGCCGGUCCUCACUGUGCCACAAGUGCAGGAAUGUGAAUGUGUGUGUGUGUGUUCUUGUACUUAUGACAUUGUGAGGACCGGCAUGAGUUUUUAACCAAGAGUGAGGACAUUUUGACGAAGCGAGGACUUUUUUUGGCCGGUCCUCACUGUGCCACAAGUGCAGGAAUGUGAAUGUGUGUGUGUGUGUGUGUUCUUGUACUUAUGACAUUGUGAGGACCGGCAUGAGUUUUUAACCAACAGAGUGAGGACAUUUUGACGAAGCGAGGACUUUUUUUGGCCGGUCCU